UAAAAGUGGUCCGGCCGUUGCUUUUCUCUUUUGACCAGUUGCCCACGCGUCCUCCAUUGUCUUCCACGCGUCGAUCAUCCUUUCCGAUUCGAUCUGUCCAAUUUUCUUUCGCCUUUCCAUUUGCCUCUCUCAGUCCUCAUUUUUUCAGUUUGAUUUGCGUCUAUCGUUCUCUCGAAUUUUCUUGGGGCUUUCAUUUCUUUCUAUCUGAUACUUGAUUUUCUUAGUUUGUUUCCGCUGAUCUUUUGUUUCUUCCGCACAUUCCACUUCUUUUUCGUCAUUUUCGGUGUGGAUUUGAAGAGGAUUUGUGAAGUGGCUUUGAUUUGAUGGUAACCAUGUUCAGUUUUCGGUUUGAUUUGAAGGAAUUUCUUGCGUAGAAGAGCUAGGGUUUCUUGGUGAGUUCUUCGGGUUGUGCAUCUGGGAAAAACAAAAGUAGGUUGAACCGAUCUACAUAAGUGAGUCGAAAGAGAAAUUAAACUCAAGAGCUACAGAAUGAGAAAUGGUCUGAUAAAAAAUAGGAAGUGAACACAUACCAGGAUGAUCUCACAAGGUGAAUGAUGAAGCAAUUUGUUUGGUUUCGGAGGCGGUGGUUUUGAAGAUUAUGGGCCUUUUUAUUCAAGUGUGGGACGAUUGUUGAUUAUCUCAUUGACCCUGGCCUUUGUUGCCGGCACAAGUGGUUGACAUCCCUAAUCACUUUAAGUAAUGUCUCUAUCUUGGCACGCAUUUCAGACUGAGUUGUUAAUGGGAUUGUUCCUUAACUAGACAAUUUUUUCCCGAAAUCUGUAUUUAUGUCGUUGCCAUGCAUUGAGCUAUCUCAUGAAUCUUCUUAUGUUUUUAGUAAUUCUUUUGUGUUGCCAUGUGAUCCUUCAAACAGAUGCCCCUGCAUUCUUUUCCAAAUUUAUGGAACAUAGAGAAAAGGUCCAAGUUUCCUUGUUCUUUGUUAACAAAGAUAAUUGUUGCUUAAUGUUUUUCUUGGCUAUCCUACUUUUAUAGUAGGUCGUGGGAAAAUCCCCAAAUUACUGCUUAGGAGUAUUAGAAUAGGCAUCCUGAUUCUCUUUUUCUUUCAUAAAUAUCUAUUCGAUUGAAAAAUAGGCCAGUGUUUUCCUUACAUGCUCAUUGUCCAUAGACUAACCCGAAUAUUUAGAGUCGUACUUUCUAUGACUUUUUUGUGAAGUGAACAGAUCAAGCUCCACUCUCAACCUGGUUAGUCUUCAAUCUACCAAUUACUUGAAUGUCCUGUCUUCGAAUUUGUAUUUGUUUGGGUUUUCAAAAUUAAUGUCUGAUUUCUACCAUUUUCAUUAUUGUUCUAUUGUUUUAAGCUACAGAUGAAGUGUUAUACAUGCAUGUUAGGUAGAAUUAAGAAGUGAAUUAGGUCCUUUUGAGAAUGCAGGCGAUAAUUCUAUGGGUGUUAACUUGGUUUUUAGAUUGAUUGUUUAGUUAUAACAUAAAUUAAAUCACUGAAAAAAAGUCCUCUCUAACUGGAAUAAAAGCAUAUUUUUUUUUUAUAUAUAUAUAUAUAGUAUAAACAUGUUGAUGUAUAAAUUAAUUGCAUGUAUUUUAAUAUUUCGUAUUUUUCCUUGCCUAGGUUGUUUUCUUGACAAUCAAGAGUAAUGGAGGGAAACCUUAGGUGCUUCCGUGAAUGACUGAUUUUUUUCCUAUGUAGAGACAAAAGUUCUACGAUUGUUUGUAUGUGGACUGUAUCAAUUAAAUCUUUUGUUUGUUGAAAUUUUCUGACAUUUUUAAUGUAAGUAAUAUUAAUCGUCUAUGGCAUAAUUUUUCUUAUAA